AUUGAACGCUGGCGGCAUACUUUACACAUGCAAGUCGAACGGUAACAGGUUAAGCUGACGAGUGGCGAACGGGUGAGUAAUGCAUCGGAACGUGCCCGAUCGUGGGGGAUAACGCAGCGAAAGCUGCGCUAAUACCGCAUACGAUCUGAGGAUGAAAGCGGGGGACCGUAAGGCCUCGCGCGAUCGGAGCGGCCGAUGUCAGAUUAGGUAGUUGGUGGGGUAAAGGCCCACCAAGCCGACGAUCUGUAGCUGGCCUGAGAGGACGACCAGCCACACUGGGACUGAGACACGGCCCAGACUCCUACGGGAGGCAGCAGUGGGGAAUUUUGGACAAUGGGCGAAAGCCUGAUCCAGCAAUGCCGCGUGCAGGAAGAAGGCCUUCGGGUUGUAAACUGCUUUUGUACGGAGCGAAAAGGUCCUUUCUAAUACAAGGGGCUCAUGACGGUACCGUAAGAAUAAGCACCGGCUAACUACGUGCCAGCCGCCGCCGUAA
rnacentral:rRNA from 1 species